ACGGAGGAUCCGAGCGUUAUCCGGAUUUAUUGGGUUUAAAGGGAGCGUAGAUGGAUAUUUAAGUCAGUUGUGAAAGUUUGCGGCUCAACCGUAAAAUUGCAGUUGAUACUGGAUAUCUUGAGUGCAGUUGAGGCAGGCGGAAUUCGUGGUGUAGCGGUGAAAUGCUUAGAUAUCACGAAGAACUCCGAUUGCGAAGGCAGCCUGCUAAGCUGCAACUGACAUUGAGGCUCGAAAGUGUGGGUAUCAAACAG
rnacentral:rRNA from 1 species